rnacentral:misc_RNA from 1 species
GAUGAAGAACGUAGCAAAAUGCGAUAAGUAAUGUGAAUUGCAGAAUUCCGUGAAUCAUCGAAUCUUUGAACGCACAUUGCGCCCCCUGGUAUUCCGGGGGGCAUGCCUGUCCGAGCGUCAUUACAACCCUCAAGCUCAGCUUGGUGUUGGGCCCCGCCGCCCCGGCGGGCCCUAAAGUCAGUGGCGGUGCCGUCCGGCUCCGAGCGUAGUAAUUCUUCUCGCUCUGGAGGUCCGGUCGUGUGCUCGCCAGCAACCCCCAAUUUUUUUCAGGUUGACCUCGGAUCAGGUAGGGAUACCCGCUGAACUUAAGCAUAUCAAUAAGCGGAGGA